GCCCCCCUGUCCGCCUCACUCAGGCAGACGCUGCCGAGCUUCCCCGGGCUGUUUCCCAGUCCCGUUGGGCGGAGGCUGCCGUCUAGACCUGACUCCAGAAUUUAAAAUGCAAUGGCCAGAAGACAGGGAAGUAUCACUAGAAGAAUGUGGACAUGGACUCCAGGACUGCUGAUAAUGACUGUGAUACUUUGGAGUCAGCAGGGGCAUGGACAAGGCCAAGGAGCCUAGGCAGAAAGUGAGCAUUUGAAGAAGAGGGAGACUAAUAUACUUUGAACAAAGAAAACGCAUGGGAGGAUGACAUCAGAUCUGGCUGGAGACUGAAGGAGGGGAGUAACAAAAUACUUCAAGCUUUUUAGAGUGAUCUUUAGAGAAAGAGGAAGUCAUUAAAACACUCUGAAGGGGAGGAACUCUAAUCAUAUCUGAUGGGAGAUGGUCACUCUGACUGCAUGUGAAGACAGAAUGGAAGGAAGUCAAUAUGGAUGAGGAAUUAAAAUUGC